rnacentral:rRNA from 1 species
GAUGAACGCUGGCGGCGUGCUUAACACAUGCAAGUCGAACGGAAAGGCCCAAGCUUGCUUGGGUACUCGAGUGGCGAACGGGUGAGUAACACGUGGGUGAUCUGCCCUGCACUUCGGGAUAAGCCUGGGAAACUGGGUCUAAUACUGGAUAGGACCACUUCUUGGAUGUUGUGGUGGAAAGUUUUUUCGGUGUGGGAUGAGCUCGCGGCCUAUCAGCUUGUUGGUGGGGUAAUGGCCUACCAAGGCGUCGACGGGUAGCCGGCCUGGGAGGGUGUACGGCCACAUUGGGACUGGGAUACGGCCCAGACUCCUACGGGAGGCAGCAGGGGGGAAUAUUGCACAAUGGGCGCAAGCCUGAUGCAGCGACGCCGCGGGGGGGAUGACGGCCUUCGGGUUGGAAACUCCUUUCGCUAGGGACGAAGCGUUUUGUGACGGUACCUGGAGAAGAAGCACCGGCUAACUACGUG